UACGUAGGGGGCUAGCGUUGUCCGGAAUCAUUGGGCGUAAAGAGCGUGUAGGCGGCUCGGUAAGUCCGCUGUAAAAGUCAAAGGCUCAACCUUUGAAUGUCAGUGGAUACUGCCGGGCUAGAGUCCGGAAGAGGCGAGUGGAACUCCUGGUGUAGCGGUGGAAUGCGCAGAUAUCAGGAGGAAUACCCAUAGCGAAGGCAGCUCGCUGGGACGGUACUGACGCUAAGGCGCGAAAGCGUGGGGAGCGAACAGG
rnacentral:rRNA from 1 species